AAAAAGAAAAAAGGAAAAAAAAAAGAAAUAAAUGUCCCCUUGACUGCAUUGCGGGACUGCUGCCCUCAGAUUGUCCUGGUCACUUGGUGAAAUGGCCAGUGGUGGAAGGGUAAAGGCAGUGCUGACCAUGAGACAACGCUGGUCCUACUGCUGUGAGGCGAAAGGGCACGGCCUGUGUAAAAAUAAAUGAAGAUCCUGAAGUAUUGCUUUUCAAGAUUGAAAAUUCAGAUUCAGCUGUCACCUGAAUUUGGUGGACAUACUUCUGAUUUUAAUACAAUUAGCUUUACAGUUUAAUCCUCCCCCCAAAAGGCAGACGUUUCAUGCAAAAGCAUAAGCAAGGAUCCAGCAGUUGUGUGGCUCCAUAAAAAGUCUUCCUGACAAGCAGCAGAAAGGCCAAGUUCCAGGGAUUGUGCAAGGGUGGCAAUUUUUUCUAGGAAGACAUUGUCUGCCUGCCAGCUUGAAACAUGUAAAUUGCUGGAAUUUGCAUCAAAAAUAUGACAGCUCUUCUCUGACAAAGGUAGGUAGUGAAACUAGAUUGGUAAAACUAAAUUUUUUUAACUAGAGCAUGGAGGUUUGGCUUAGAAAUUUUAUCGUUUUCACCUUUAGUUAUAAUAUGUCACUGAACAGAGUAAAGAGAGAAUUUUGUCAUUGACAUCAAUAAGAACUAUAGAGAAAAUGUUGUUUCUGGGACUCUGUAUUUUGCAUA